CAGCAGCCGCGGUAAUACGGAGGAUCCAAGCGUUAUCCGGAAUCAUUGGGUUUAAAGGGUCCGUAGGCGGUUUAGUAAGUCAGUGGUGAAAGCCCAUCGCUCAACGGUGGAACGGCCAUUGAUACUGCUAAACUUGAAUUAUUAGGAAGUAACUAGAAUAUGUAGUGUAGCGGUGAAAUGCUUAGAGAUUACAUGGAAUACCAAUUGCGAAGGCAGGUUACUACUAAUGGAUUGACGCUGAUGGACGAAAGCGUGGGUAGCGAACAGGAUUAGAUACCCUGGUAGUCCACGCCGUAAACGAUGGAUACUAGCUGUUGGAAGCAAUUUCAGUGGCUAAGCGAAAGUGAUAAGUAUCCCACCUGGGGAGUACGUUCGCAAGAAUGAAACUCAAAGGAAUUGACGG
rnacentral:rRNA from 1 species